CUUUCUAGGUUGCUUCUGUUAGCCCUGAUAUCUUUUCUUUGCAAUUGGCAUGUUCAGUGUGAAGAAUGAGUCCAAAUCUUCAUACAGACUGAACUCCACAAGGGAACUGGCAGAUUUUGCAGCUCCAUAGCACACCAAAGUGAUACUGAACAAGUUCAAACUUCGGAUGGCCUUGACGGCACGCAAUACUAUAUCCAGUUUUCUUCACAGAAGAUACGUUUGGAUAAACAUGGGGCCUCUGUGUAGAAUGUAUAGGAUCCCUGAUGGUUUCCUAAGCUUAGUCAUAAUAAUUAAAGGCAAUAGUUUAAAAGUGAAUUACACUAUUGCCUAUUGCUGCAAUCACAUUGGAAGUCUCUAUGUAUGUGGUAUAGCAGAGCUAUGCAAAAUGAGUAGUCUCUCACUGAAGGUGAAGCAAGAAAAAUCAGAUAAUAUACAAUGUACAUCGUGGCAACAUAAAGACAAUGCUGAUGAAAAUUUAUUUUUCCACUCUAUCAAAUAGGCUUUAAAGUAUUUUAUAGCACAUCGUAAAACUGUAUUCCAGCAAGAGUUACCCCACUUCAAGACUUGUAUAAAAAACUUUAGUCCAGUUCCAUCUUCAUAAAUUACUUCAGUGUUGUGAAAGCACUGCACAUCAACCUGGUAAAAAUAUAUUUGGUCUUCCAAACUUGGGGAGAAAAAAGUUGAAAAAUGAUAGAUGAUUAUAUAUAUGUGUGUGUGUGCACGUGCGUGUGUGUUCAUUUCUCAUUUCAAAAAGACUUACAGACUAAUUGGGAUGUAAUCUUUUGCAGAUAUACUUCAGGCUCACCAGCUGAUAACUGGAGCCAUGAAAGUAUCCUAGAAUUAACCUAGAGAUGCUGAGGUUAGGAAAACCACGCAUCGCUCUCCCACCCAACCUGCACUUGCAGAUGAGGUGCAGGGAGCAGGUCUGGGAAGAGCCCCGCGCUGCGAAGCGCUGCCCUGGCCUCGUUCCCACCGCCCCCAGCCCUGGCCCCGGCCCCCGCCCCGCAUCCCCGGCCCGGCAUCCCCGGCCCGGCAUCCCCGCCCGGCAUCCCCGCAUCCCCGAACGGCGGUGGGACGGCUCCGAAAUGCUGCCAUCACGCGGGGGAAGGGGCGCAUAGCGAGGGCAGGAGGGGACCGCCACCGGCAUCCCUGGGCGCUUGCAGGGUCAGCGGGAGCAGUGCGUCUCGCCGGCUACGUCCUACAGCGACUUAUGCACGUCCCUCUGUCCCCUCUCCUUUUCACCUCCUC
rnacentral:lncRNA from 1 species